rnacentral:rRNA from 1 species
AACGAACGCUGGCGGCAGGCCUAACACAUGCGAGUCGAGCGCCCCGCAAGGGGAGCGGCGGACGGGUGAGUAACGCGUGGGAAUAUGCCCUUUGCUACGGAAUAGUCUCGGGAAACUGGGGGUAAUACCGUAUACGCCCUUUGGGGGAAAGAUUUAUCGGCGAAGGAUUAGCCCGCGUUGGAUUAGGUAGUUGGUGGGGUAAUGGCCUGCCAAGCCGACGAUCCAUAGCUGGUUUGAGAGGAUGAUCAGCCACACUGGGACUGAGACACGGCCCAGACUCCUACGGGAGGCAGCAGUGGGGAAUCUUAGACAAUGGGGGCAACCCUGAUAUAGCCAUGCCGCGUGAGUGAUGAAGGCCUUAGGGUUGUAAAGCUCUUUCAGCUGGGAAGAUAAUGACGGUACCAGAAGAAGAAGCCCCGGCUAACUCCGUG